UAUGAGCUCACGAACUCAGUUAUCCCAGACUUCCAAGAAAAGUUCCGGCGUGAGUCACUUUACUGACCGUACCGCAAACCGACACAGGUGGGCAAGGAGAGUAUCCUAAGGCGUUUGAGAGAAGCCUCUCUAAGGAACUCUGCAUAAUGACACCGUAACUUCGGGAUAAGGUGUGCCGACGGUAGGUGAUGUGCCUGCGCACAAAGCCCAAGUCGGUUGCAGUGAAACGGGGGUAGCGACUGUUUACCAAAAACACAGCACUCUGCAAACUCGUAAGAGGAUGUAUAGGGUGUGAUGCCUGCCCGGUGCCGGAAGGUUAAGAGGAGGAGUCAGCCGCAAGGCAAAGCCCCGAAUCGAAGCCCCGGUAAACGGCGGCCGUAACUAUAACGGUCCUAAGGUAGCGAAAUUCCUUGUCGGGUAAGUUCCGACCUGCACGAAUGGCAUAACGACUUCCCCACUGUCUCGGAGAGGCCCUCAGCGAAGUAGCACUAGGGGUGAAGAUACCCUUUACCCGCGGCAGGACGGAAAGACCCCGUGAACCUUUACUGUAACUUGGCACUGAUUUUCGGGUUAGCUUGCGUAGGAUAGGUGGGAGGCUAUGAAGCCGGGAUUCCGGUCUCGGCAGAGCCAACCUUGAAAUACCACCCUGGCUAACCUAAAAAUCUAACUCGCUUCCGUAAUCCGGAAGGAGGACAAUGCCUGGUGGGCAGUUUGACUGGGGCGGUCGCCUCCCAAAAAGUAACGGAGGCGCGCGAAGGUUCCCUCAGCCUGAUUGGAAACCAGGCGCAGAGUGUAAUGGCAUAAGGGAGCUUGACUGCGAGACAAACAAGUCGAGCAGGUGCGAAAGCAGGUCAUAGUGAUCCGGUGGUCCUGUAUGGAAAGGCCAUCGCUCAACGGAUAAAAGGUACUCCGGGGAUAACAGGCUUAUCACGCCCAAGAGUUCACAUCGACGGCGUGGUUUGGCACCUCGAUGUCGGCUCAUCGCAUCCUGGGGCUGAAGUAGGUCCCAAGGGUUCGGCUGUUCGCCGAUUAAAGCGGUACGCGAGCUGGGUUCAAAACGUCGUGAGACAGUUUGGUCCCUAUCCGCCGUGGGCGCAGGAGACUUGAGAGGAGCUAACCUUAGUACGAGAGGACCGGGUUGGACUGACCUCUAGUGUUCCGGUUGCGGCACCAGCCGCAUCGCCGGGUAGCUACGUCGGGAAUGGAUAACCGCUGAAAGCAUCUAAGCGGGAAGCCAACCUCAAGAUUAGGUCUCCCAGGUCGUAAGACCCUAAAGGCCCCUCGUAGACCACGAGGUAAUAGGCUGGGUGUGGAAGCGUAGUAAUACGUGAAGCUGACCAGUACUAAUCGGCCGUGCGGCUUGACCAC
rnacentral:rRNA from 1 species